AUGCUCCCUUCAGCAGCAUGUAUACUAAAAUUGGAACGAUACAGAGAUGAUUAGCAUGGCCCCUGUGUAAGGAUGGCACGCAAAAAGAAAAUGUAUUUUAUCUU